UGCAGAGGGGGCAAGCGUUAUUCGGAAUUAUUGGGCGUAAAGCGCACGUAGGCGGCAUUGCAAGUCGGAUGUGAAAUCUUAUGGCUUAACCAUAAAAGUGCAUCCGAAACUGCAGUGCUUGAGUACUUAAGAGGAUCGCGGAAUUCCCGGUGUAGAGGUGAAAUUCGUAGAUAUCGGGAGGAACACCAGUGGCGAAGGCGGCGAUCUGGGAAGAUACUGACGCUGAGGUGCGAAAGCGUGGGGAGCAAACAGG
rnacentral:rRNA from 1 species